ACCUCCUGACAGCUGAGUCACUGCUGCUUACUGGGAAGGAGAGGGGCAAGGUGGUGGGGAGGCCAGCACAGUGCAAACACAGCGACAGAGCCAAUAUGGUAUUCCUGGUGGUGUGUUUGCACCACGCUACGCUCCCUGCCACUUUGGCCCUCUCCAUCCUUGGAAAGCAGCGGUGACUCAGCUGUCAGGAGA
rnacentral:miRNA from 1 species